AGUACUAUACAGAAUAAUAAAUUAAUAUUUACUUUAAUGGCACGGAAGCAUCAGCUGUUAAACUAGCCACAGAAACCAUGGCUUCUUUUUAAACUCUAGGUGAACACCAGCUAGAGUAUUUUUGUUAAUCAACAUAGAAUUAUGCUCCUCAAAACACUCACACAUCAGGGCAGGCGCAAACUAUCCAUUUGAAUAUGUGAUGAAAGGAUCUGCUUCUUCAGUCACACCUUGAGUCAACAAAAAGGAUGGGAUGAGAUCUACUGUCAAAUCGAGUUCAACUGUGAAAUCUGUGAGGAGUCCCACAAGGAGGAGUAUUACGGAGGGACAGAUAUGUGAACUUCACAACACAUGCCAGUAAGGUUACUUCAAAAUGAAAUUAAAUCACGAUGGA